rnacentral:tRNA from 1 species
GUCCCCGUGGUGAAACGGAUAUCACGCUUCGCUUCGGACGAAGUAUUGGGGGUUCGAGUCCCUCCGGGGACA